ACGGCAAUCUCAUGUUGAAAAACCGAUUUUCCUACGAUCACCGAAAUUAAGCAACAUCGAGUCUGGUCAGUACCGAGAUGUGUGACCAGCUGGGAAUACCAAAUGCUGUAU